AUUUAAAUAAAUACAGCCAAAAGGCUAUUUUGUGUUAUUUGAUUGACAAACGGCUGUUUAAAUUUGUCUUUACUAAACAACAAAUAUUUAUUUAUGAAAAUGAAAUGAUCAAUGACGUUAAAACCCCGGCGUCUCCUUUAGGGGGGCGUGUCCUGUCUGCCGUCUCAAAUGUAACCCGGAAACGAACGGCGGGCGUUGAUUGGCUGAAAGACCCGGCAGUUUGCAGCCCCGCCUCCUGUCAGUGACACAUCUCUAGGAAAGAUAGUGAGAACAACAACAACAACAAACACCAGAGAGGAGGAGGAGGAAGAAGAGCGAGCAACAUGGCGGCGGGGCGGAGAACCCGACGCUCACCACGCGGCCGCCUGUAGCUCCGUGCCGGUGUAGGGGCGUCUGUCAGCGGGGAGACCGCAGGAGGCUGCCCGGGCCGCGCGCAGUCAUGGCGGAUUCACCCCGAGUCCCGCGGCACGGCGGCCGGGACGCGGCGCCCGCGCUGCCCCGGGCCCGGUCGACGGAGGCCUGGAAGAGACACAUCGUGGGCCAGCUGAAGCACCGGGACCGGAGCCAGCACGACCGGUACCAGGACCUGAUCCGCUUCUACAAUCGGUUGCUGGAGAAAACCCGGCUGACCAAAGGAAUCCUGAGCGGCUCCCCCAGACGUCCUGCAGACGUCUCCUCUGACGGCCGCUCCGUCCCGUCUCUGCGUCAGCAGAACGAGCAGCUGAGGAAGACUUCAGGAGAGCUGGCCUAUCAGGUGCUGGAGCUGCAGCAGCAGACCAGGACCAGAGAACUUCUUCUGGAGGAGCAGCAGUACAGGUGAGGCCCCUAUGAGGUCACACGCUGCUAUACUACAUGUAGUAUAGUAGGGCAUAUACUAGUAUAUACUACAUGUAGUAUAGCAGGGCAUAUAC
ensembl:lncRNA